rnacentral:rRNA from 1 species
GACGAACGCUGGCGGCGUGCUUAACACAUGCAAGUCGAACGGCAAGGCACUGCUUUUGUGGGGUGCUCGAGUGGCGAACGGGUGAGUAACACGUGAGUAACCUGCCCUUGACUUUGGGAUAACUUCAGGUAACUGGGGCUAAUCCCGGAUAGGAGCUCCUGCUGCAUGGUGGGGGUUGGAACGUUUCGGCGGUUGGGGAUGGACUCGCGGCUUAUCAGCUUGUUGGUGGGGUAGUGGCUUACCCAGGCUUUGACGGGUAGCCGGCCUGAGAGGGUGACCGGCCACAUUGGGACUGCGAUACGGCCCAGACUCCAACGGGAGGCAGCAGGGGGGAGUAUGGCACAAUGGGCGGAAGCCUGAUGCAGCAACGCCGCGUGCGUGAUGACGGCCUUCUGGUUGUAAACCGCUUUCGCCUGUGACGAAGCGUGAGUGACGGUAAUGGGUAAAGAAGCACCGGCUAACUACGUG